rnacentral:rRNA from 1 species
UCUGGCCUUACCAACCUGAACAUGCCCAAUCUUAUCUGAUCUCAGAAGCUAAGCAGGGUUGGGCCUGGUUAGUACUUAGAUGGGAGAGACUUGGUGAGCACCAGCUCCAAGCCAGGU